GUGCACCUGGCAGUCUCAGGUAGAAAGCAGGCCCUCCGCUGGGCUAGCUGCAGGCCCCCUGCCUGCUCUCAGCCUCUUUUAGAGGGAAGGCUGUGUCCAAGGUAUCCUGCAGGCACCCUUCCAACCCCCACCUACUCCCUCGGGGACGUGCAGGCUGUAAGGAGCAGACUGUGAGCCAUGUUUGCAGCAUCCGCAUCCUCAAGGAAGCCGCUCCUGAGCCCUGGGGACCAGGAAAGCCUUGGGGACUUCCUGCUUUCCAGAGCUGAGUGAAGCAGCCCUUAUCUGGAACUCGAAAGCCCCAGGAGGUGUGUGCUCAGAAGCAAACAGAGGCUGACCUGAGGCUUCCUUACGUCAGCACCCUCCUCAACUGCUCCUGGGAGCUUAGCCGAUGCUUUUCUUUAAAGUUCUUACUUAUGU